ACUUAGAGUUUAAUCGUACUAAACCUACGUAUGAAAUAAAAACCCGAACUCUAGUUUUUCCCUAAAUCCCCCGCCGCACUCCCUCUUCCCCGAGCCCUCUCCCUCUCUCACGAUUUUCUCUCUAUUCCAUCGACGAUCUCCCUUCUCUGUCGAGCCAUGGCAGCCGGCUCUCCUCCUCGCGUGAGCACCGCGGCGCCGCCUCCUCUACCCUUACCGAAGCUCUUCUCCCUCACGCGAGCAACCGCCGCCGAUCUUCUCCCUUACACGAGCACCAGUCAGAAAUCUCUCCCUCACGCGAGUACCAGCCGACGAAUAAUGAAGGAGUGGCCUUAGUGAGGAAGAUACCACCCAGAACGGGACGGUAGACUCGGAGGCGGAGUAGCCGAGGAGGUGAGGUCGGAUGCAUCACACUGUCUAGGGGCUCUAAGUGUCAGUUAUUAGUCAUUUCAUAUGAUUGUUAUGGUAGUAUGGGAUGAAGACUACUUGUUAGCUUGCUUCGGUAGGAGGUCACAAAUGUUUCUUUAAAGAUGUGGGCUUUUUUUUCUUUGACGUUUUAUAUGAUUGCAGAAAAAAAAAUAAUUUGGACAAAUGUGUGAUGCAAUGAUGUUUCCUUUAAAUGUGAAGUUUAUGUUUUAGUUCUUAGCAAA